AAUAUUAGUCAAUGCUCGAAAGAGUGAACUAGCUAACUGAAAUCAAUUUAAAAUUGAUAACAUAAGGGAAAAUAAUGAUAUUACCUUAUUAUUAGUGUCGUCCAAAACUGGUGCCAGAAGACUCGGUAAGGCCAGAGACACAAACGUUAAUCGUCUUAAUCAGGCGUAAAGGGUUUGUAGGCGGCUUUUAAUUUACUUAUAAAAUUUUUAAAAUUUAAAUAAGUUAAGAAUAAAAGCUAGAAUCAAAUAGAGGAUAUAUCAAAUAAUGCUUAGAGUAGGUCUGAUAUCCAUAGAUACUAAGUAGAAUAUUAAAGGCGAAAGCUUUUUUCCAUAAAUGAUUGACGCUCAGAAACGAAGGUGAGGAUAGGAAAUAGGAUUAGAUACCCAAAAUACCCCUCUCUGUCAACGAUGAAUGGUAAUUAUUAAUAAUAAAUUUAUUAUUAAUGAUAAUGUUAACACGAUAACCAUUCCGCCUUGUGAGUACAACUGCAAAGUUGAAAACAAAAAAAUUAGUCGGUUUCGGAGCAAACGAAGUGAAGCAUGUUAUUUAAUUCGAUAAUCCGCAA
rnacentral:rRNA from 1 species